GAUGGAGUUGUAUUUGACGACGUUUUGUUACACAACAUAUCACCAAGGAUGCCGCUCUAUUGCCCGUCCUUCUAGAUCCGCCACUGCCCGAUUAUAAUAGUUGUAUCAGCCGGCGACAAAGACUUGUGUCUUGUUUUUUUUUUUCAGACUUGUGCUUGUCAUGUGCACCCACUGUCAGGAGAAGCUAGGAGGUAUGUAGCGCGUUCAGCGGGCAGGACGGAGCGAGUAGUAAUGUCGUAACAACAUGGCGACCUCAGCGCUGAGUUGUCGCGUGUAAAAAAAAACACAAGCCGAUUGUUAACGAAAGAUCAACGUUAGAAUUCACACAAGCUUCGUUUCGUGGACAAACGCUCGCGGACCGAAGGCGACAGGCCGCAUAUGGAGCCCGGAAUCUCGCGUGAAAGUCAGACCGACGUGGGGUGCCAGCUGCGGGAGAACACCCCGGGGGAGGAGGCGGAAGGUGGAGACGGGAGCAAGGUGAUGUUAGGGCGAAGAGGCGGAGACGAGGCGGUCAAGUUGAAGGAUGUGAAAUGUGAACAUGGCGGACAGGACCAGAUGAAAAGUGGAGAUGAUGAGGAUGUUGACAAAUACGAGGAGGAGCUGGACCCAAGAAUUCAGGAGGAACUGGAGCACCUCAACCAGGCCAGCGAUGAGAUCAACAAGCUUGAGCUUCAGUUGGAUGAUGCAAGGUCCAGCUACAGGAAGAUCCUCACAGAUUCUGCCAGGAAGCUGAAUGCUCAGGGUUCCCAGCUGGGUGCCUGCAUUGAGAAAGCCAGGCCUUACUACGAAGCACGCAGACUGGCCAAAGAGGCGCAGCAGGAGACCCAGAAAGCCGCUCUUAGGUAUGAGAGGGCUGUGUCCAUGCACACUGCUGCCAGAGAGAUGGUGUAUGUGGCAGAGCAAGGCCUGCUGGCUGACAGGAACACCAUGGACCCUACCUGGCAAGAGAUGCUCAACCACGCUACAUCUAAGGUCAACGAGGCUGAGGAGGAACGCUUUCGUAGUGAGCGAGAGCACCAGCGAGUCACACAGCUCUGCCAGGAGGCAGAGGCUCGAGUGCAAACCCUGCAAAAAUCACUGAAGAAGGUCAUCCUCAAGUCCAAACCCUACUUUGAGCUAAAGGCCCAAUUUAACCACAUUCUGGAGGAACAUAAGGCCAAAGUAGUGCAACUGGAGCAGCAUGUGUCUAAAGUGAAAACGCGGUAUUCUGUGGCUCUGCGGAACCUUGAACAGAUCAGUGAGCAGAUCCAUGCACAGAGAGGGCGAAUCCGAGUCAGUCAGGGGCGACCGGUUACAUGCGGUGGCCGGAGCUCUCCAGUUGGCGCAGAGGCAGAGAUCAGAGUGGCUGUCGGAGUCCCGAGCCGUAGCUUUGCGGGAGUGGGUGGAGUGGAGAGUGACUGGGUUGACAAUGAGAAAACUAGGCUGUGGGUAGAGAAGCACCGGGAGAGUGGCUGGGGCGGGAGGGAGCAGCUCGUGGGGGAGCGUGGCGCUUCAGACCGCUUGUCCAUCAUCAGCCUGCAGACCAUCGCGUCUGACCUGGAGAAGUGCGACUCCGUGGAUCACCUAGGUGACCUCAGCGAUGUUGGCAGUGUGCUUGGCGAGGUGUGGGACUGGAGCAAGAAGAAUUCGCUCAGGCCUGGCAACGGCGUGGAGGUGACUGACGCGCCCCAGCAGAAGGAGGCAGCUGUUGGUAAAGACAAGCAAAGCUUUGUAAAGAAGCACCACAGAAGUGUGAGUCUCUAAUGUUUGGAUCAAGCUGAUGAUGAACAUUCUAGUAAGCUCAGUCUGGAUAAGACAACAUUAGAAACAAAAAAAACACACAAGAAGUUAUCUGUUUCUGUGCUGGUGAGUUGGAGGUUUUCCCAGCUGACUUUGGGCAACACGACACAAACAAGCAUGCACACACACAUUCACACUCCAAGCAGCAAGCAAAGCUCUCAAACGCAACUCAACCGGGGACUGACGUCACUCCCAGCAUGCUUUGUGGCACGUCCCUAAAGUUACGUGUUUAGUUUUACAGUUUAGAUUUAGUUUUUGCUCAUUACCCAAUUAAAGAACAUCUUCCUUUAAAAGCAAAACUGCACCUAUUUUUGGAAUUUUGCCCAUCAUCCACAAUCCUGAUGUGAGACAUGAACACACGUCUUUCUCUUUUCUGUGCGUUCUGAAGCUAUUAAAGCAAACAAGACAAGAUUUUAUGGUUUUAUAUUCAUGCUGUGACCAUGUAGGAACAGGUGCAUUCAUGGUAACAUGUAAUAAUUACACUUUGGCUGUUUUAAGCAUUACUGGAACUUCCUUCCUGGGCUGUGUGUGCUACGAGAGGAUGAGACGCCUUCUUUAAGGAGACUUUGGAUGUAAGACAUUGGUGGAGCUCCACAUAGCAACAUAGAAAUGAACGCCUACACCAGGCGUUAACUUUUCCAAACUCAAAAAUAAUAUACAAGGUAGGUGGAAUAGGUGUGUCCCAUUAUGUGCAUUCUGUGCUUCCUCUUAUUUAAUGUUUUUAUAUUUUUAGAACGUACAGAAAAGAGAAAGACAUAUGUUCGUGUGUCACAUAAGGAUUGCGGCUGAUGGGCAAAAUUCACCAAAAAGUGCAGUUUUCCUUCAAGCAAGCGAACGUGCCUCUGACCCUUUCCUCAGGGUGCAUUUACACUCAACUUUGAUGUUGUGUCGGGGGCCACACGUUCAGUUUGGGGUUUGCAGUUAGCAUGUUUUUGCUAAGCGGGAAGAAGCCAAAGUACGCAGAGAAAAGCCACCACAGUUUCCCACCAGAAGUAACAUUACCUUCACUAAAAUUCUCUAAAAGUUCACUACAUUUUGUUGUCUAAUUCAAGGGCAUUUACCUUAUUUCUUCAACUGCAGAGAGUACUGGGCAUCUAUUACAGGAAGGACUUUUUAUAAUAUUAAAUAACAUAUAUAUUUUGAAGUCACUUUUACACAGAUAAUUCUACAUUUAAAAUUCUAUGAAACAAAAUAAUGUAUAUUGUAAUACAGCAGAGUAAAUCUUUGUAUAUCAUUUUAAGCGUCACUCACUAAUGGGUAUAUCUCAUUUUCUUUUUUUAAAAAUUUGUUUCCCCCCAAAAUCGCCAAUUUUUUAACUCUAAAGACUGACAGCACUCUUUAAACCCCCAGUGCACACUUGUGCUUUACAUUUGCCAUGUCUGCUCUGCAGGCGCCGUGAUUACACGCUCUCAUUACGCACCGCCUCACAUGUCAUUCCUACGGUAAAAAGGAGACAGUAUAGAAUCUAUGGAAAUGCAUACAAGGUAAACAUGUCCCGAUGGUACCAGUCCAGGGUGUACCUCGUAGUCAGCUGGACGUAGUCAGCUGGACUGGUCGCCAGCCAAUCACAGGGCACAUAUAGACAAACAACCAUUCACACUCCCAUUCAUACCAAUGGACAAUUUAGAGUCGCCAGUUAACCUAACAUGCGUGUUUUUGGAAUGUGGGAGGAAGCCGGAGUACCCGGAGAAAACCCACGCAUGCGUCUCUCACCACCAGACCACCGUGCUGCCAUUAUCUGGACGAUACUCGGUCAUUAUCCGUUCACUGCAUGAUAUUAUGACAGUUUUCUUUCUGUAGUACUAUUUCUAAUUCUCUCGUUAUGUAACUGUGGCAUGAUUGCAUUAUCAUACAUCUAUUAUUUAUUAUGGUACAAAGUUCUGUUGACUUUUACGGCCUUAUUGUAUUAUUUUUAUGUAUUAUUCUAUUUAUUUCCCAUUAUUUAUUAUUUUACUAUGUAUGAUCUCAUUUAUGUACAGUGGAACCUUGCUUAGCAUCAUUAAUCCAUUCUAGAAGGCCCGAUUACUAGCAUACUCAAACCAAAUCCAUUUUUCCCUUGAGAAAUAUUGUAAAUCCAAUGAAUCCUUUCCAAAAAGCCAAAAAUGUUAACACAAAACUUGUUUUUACAAUUAUAGUUUUACAUGCCAUUGAUAGAAAUAUUUAAAUAUACUUUUACCUUCAUUGAAGACGAGAUUGUUGUCAAAGACACGAUGUGGCCGUGAGAUCAACAUGCACACCUAUGAGUUAUUUCUUGAAUUCAAUAGUGUUUCUUACCUCAUAAGUCAAAAUGGAGCCAAAGAAAGUUGCAAAUAGCAGAAAUUUGAUAAUGAAGGUGAAAAACACUAUUGAAUAAAAAAAAAAUAACAAUAGCAAAACAGUUGAUCUUGAUGCCACAUCGUGUCUUUGGCAACGAUCACGUCUUCAAUGAAGGUAAAAGCAAGCUUAAAUGUUCAUUUAUCCCUUUCAGUCAUCAUUUAUAUGCAUUUAGAAAUGUUUUAUGCAUGUAAAACUAUAAUUGUAAAACUAUGAAAAGGUUUUUUGUGUUAAAAUUUGUGAGACUUUUGGCGUAAUUGUUAGUUGGCAAAGAACUACAGUCAACUACAUAGUCUUAGGCGGAGCUGACUUCCGCUUCCUGUUUCCAUGAAUUAGCAAGCUAACAGGAUGCUUACAAGGACGUUUUGUGAUUAGAAAUACAUGAAGAACACAAGACGCGCACCAUAUUGUACGCUGACCGGAAAACGUGCGCAAACUGAGGCAAAAUGUCAGCAUACAUUUUUGACGUUAACCAAAAAAAAAACUGUACAGACAAAUGUUUUAUAAUACAGACUGUAUUAUAAAAUAGUUUUAUCCUUUUCAUUCAAAGUGGAACAUCUUAAACACUUGAAGUGAUGAACUCAGAAGGUGUAGGAUUAAAUAAGCUACGCUUCUUCCAACUUCUUUUCGGACAUGUUUAAUUGUGCAAGUGUAAAUGUGAUGUAUGCUAUGUCAAUUGUUUUGCAUGUUGGAAAUAAACUAAGCUAGUUCCAUUACCAAAUAUAUUUUAAGGGUACAUCUGCACAGAGCCAACAUCUGCCUCUGCCAGUUAGGCUUGUAAAAUAGUAUGUAAGUCUUACAUGCAAAAUUGAAAUACGAUGGACAUUUCAAUAUAUUAUGUUUUUAUAAUGUUGUUUUUUGUAGCUUGAAGUGGCGUAGAACUGCACUGCCCCUUGUGCUGGUACAUAAUGCAAACCAUUAUUAUUGUUUUGCCUUUACCUUAUUAUUUAGGGUCUAUUGUUUAGCUACUGUACCUGCUUAUGGGCAAACUAUCUGAAACAAAUUGCACGGAAAAUUAGUGGAGGUGGGCCUCAUUGCUCACUAUAACACAGAAAAAGUACAGGAAGGAGAACAACCACAGCAGAAAAAACACGCAGCUCAGAAGGAAUCGUGACAGCACAAGGAAGGCUGGAAACCAUUGGAGACCAUAAAUGGGGGCAUACCUGCGGCCAAGCAGACGAGGGUGUUGUGGGUAUACUCAAUACAUGGGAGGUGCACUGACCAGGAAGCAGGGAGUACACAGGGGAUGGCCCGCUUGCCUCCAUGGUUAGUCGUUGGUCUGUGGGUGACCAGGACCUUGCUGAAAGCCUUCCAAAGUAAGGACGCAAACUGGGCACCUCUGUUGGACAACACAAGAAAACACAGAGAAGGAGCUUGGUGGUUUCUAGAGCACCAGGAGCUUGGAAAGGGCGAGAGAGUGUGCCAUCUUGAGCAGCAGAUAGCAAGACGGGAUGCGGAAAGGGUUCACUGGUGUGAAAGCCUUGUGGGCGCAGACGGAGCAGGCAGCAAUUAACUCCUUGGGGUCCGUUUUGCUUGAAGGAGCGUGGCAGUAUUACUUGUGGAAAAGUAAAUACAGGCCAACCUUGGUUAGCGUCAUUAAUCCCUUCCAGAAGGUCCAACUCUAACCGAAACGUACUCAAACCAAUCAAUUCUUCCCAUAAGAAAUAAUGUAAAUCCAAUUAACCUGUUCCAGAAAACCAAAAAUGUUAACACUAAACAUGUGUUUAUAGUUUUACAUGCAUAAAACAAUAAGUGUAUGUAAAUGAUGAAUGAAAGGGAUAAACAAACAUUUAAGCUUGCUUUUACAUUCAAAGAAGACGUGAUUGUUGCCAAAGACACGAUGUGGCAGCGAGAUCAACAUCUUGGUGUUUUGCUGUGAGUUAUUUCUUGAAUUCAAUAGCGUUUCUCACCUCAAGUCUCUGCUUUCUUUUGAUUACAGCACCCUUCUAUUAUUUUUCUGACAAACUGUCAGGUGGUGCUGUUAUUCAACGCAUAGUUUGGAUUUUUUUACAUGAAGUUGUAUUUCAGUGAUGAAGAACGCAAUUCCGGUUAGUUGGUGGGACCACGUAAGAAAAGAGUGAGGCUCCUCAAAACAAUACGCCAGUGAAAAAAAUGAGACCUCAUAAUCACUCUGUGUUACUUUCUCUCUCGUCAUAUCACUGACAAGUUGGACGACAGCGGGUCCAGAAGUCAGCCGCUUGGCUGCACGGUACGGGCAGCAUGUGGGACCAAAGAGGGUACUGAAUACAGCAGACAGAAAGGGCACAAACCGUUCCUGGAGAAAGUAGAAACCAUCUCACAAGCCACGGAUGCCAAUAUCAUCAUUGAUGGUGCAGCGUUGGUGAACCGUCUCCCCCCACAGAGUUCAAAGGCGUCUGAAGAGUCCGUAGUCUGCUUGAUGUCCUUUCCAGAAUGUAAGCAUACUACCAAGUCGAAAAGAACAGACGUUGUAUUUAAUGUUGUAGGAAAAAAUAAAUGUACUGACUGGGUAAAUAAUUAUUACAAGUAGAUUUUAGAAUAAUUGUUUACAUUGAUGUUUAUUGAUUGAAUCAUAGAGUGUCUUAAAAUAAGUAAGUAUAGAUGUAUAGAGGUAACUGUUUAAUCAAUUAAUGUAAUAACUUGGAUGAUUACAAGUAGUUUAUAGAAAUAAUGCUUCAUUAAAUAGUUAGCAGAGUAGAUGAACAUCUGUUUAAGUGUGUCAAAGGCUCACGUUGCCAGGUCCCCCACCGUCGGAGCCAACUCACCACCAGGUGGUGAUGGGUUGAUAGCUCCGCCCUUCUCUUCACCCGAGUAUCCAAAACAUGUGGUCAAAGUCUGACGACACAACCACAAAGUCAAUCAUCGAACUGUGGCCCAGGUUGUCCUGGUGCCAAAUGCACAUGUGGACACCCUUAUGUGUGAACAUGGUGUUCAUUAUGGACAAUCUGUGACAGGGGAGAAGUCUGUUUGGCAAAUGUGGGAUGUUUGUGAUGAGGCUUCCGGCAUGCUUUGUCCAACUCAGACAGUACCCACCUGUGGUGGAUGAUGAAGACCUGGGGACACUGGAGAAGUUUGUGGUCACGAUGUACGACAGAUCCAACACAGUCGAAGGCGUUAAUGAUAGGAAGUUGGACAUGCUUGCCCAGGAGCAAAGGCCGUAGACCCCAUUCCUACAAACUCAAAAAGCGCUGACGUGGCAUGUAUGCUGCCUCCCAGGUGGGGCUGCAUCUGGAGUCAACAGUACCAGCAACAGUUUUGUAGAUGCAAGUCAGAAUGAUCCAGUCAAUGCAAAUGCUACUGCUUUGGUCUAACCUGCACAGCACUGUGCAGCUACAGAUGCAAUGUUUAGAAGCAAUGUUCACCCAUGCUGCGAGACAAUCAGUGUAAGUCACUCUGGGCUUACAGCCUACAUGCACAUGCACGGACAACGUCACGACUCAAAGCGCGUCAUUUCCGCUUCUUUUUCCUGUUACCAAAAACAACAACAACACCGCCACGGUGGAUAAUGAACGCCAUUGUUAGUGUUUUGGUGCUGGUACUGACCCACCACCAGUACUCGACAUCAUUCUGCCUCACUUUCUUCAUUAAUGGAAGGCGAGAACGUGAGGAAAUAGGAAAUGGAGCUGGAGCUGUGCCGUCCACAUCUAUGCUAUAUAUCCCCAGACCCCCCCGGACACUUCUGAAGAUGCAUUCGUACAAACCCUGCUUCACGUAACUGCUUGCUCACAUUCUGAUAGACUUGGCUAUUGCGGUACUUUCUACCUUGUCAGCUCCUCGCUCCAACAGUGUGGGGUUUUGCGUGUCGUCAUGUUUACAAGUAGUCCCUGCCAAAGACACAAGAUUCCUUUCCAAUAGAACAGAACACAAAUGAAUGUUCCUUUUGAUCGGGAUAUCCCGAUAGGCGUAUACAUGACACAAUAUUCGGGUUAGAAAAGGAGUAACCCAGGGGUGAUAUUCGGGUUCAUAAAAAACGGAAUAUGAGCAUAUUCCAUUUUUUCAAAAGGGUUAUUGGUGUUUACGUGGCCAUGCACAACCGGGUUAUUGCUAAUAUUCCGGUUAUGAUAGGGUUAUUUGACUGCAUGUAAACGUAGCCAUAAAGCAAUCCCCAAGGAGAAUGCGUGCCAACUCUGCUGCUUGUUUCAAUUAUCUGCAACAAUUAUCUGCUCCAUUAUUAUUGUUAACAGUAAUAAACAUAUGAAGCAGACUACUUAAGUGCCUUUAACCUGAAGGGACAACACUUUAGACAACAAAAUCAGCACCUCCAAGUCCGAAUCCAUGGUUCUCUGGAAAAGGUUGGCGUGCCAUCUCCAGGUUGUGGAUCAGAUCCUGCCCUAAGUGCAGGUGUUUAAGUACCUUGGAGUCUGGUUCAUGAGUGAGGGGAGGCUGGAACGUGAGAUCGACUGGUGGAUUGGUGCAGCAUCUGCACCAAGAAAAAACAAGAACAAAGCCUGAUUUAAUAGUGAGGAUUUAAAAACUGACACACCGAUAAAUUUUAAAAAUACAGUCGUCCUGACUUUAUCGCGGUUAAUUGGUUCCAAAUCCGACCGCCCUGUAGACAUGAAAAAAUACCCCUACAGUCACUUUUGGGGCGGCAGUGGAUCAGGAGCAGGUCGUCCAGAAACUGGAAGGUUGACAGCUCCAUCCUCGCUCCCUCCACCCAGUCACUGCUGUGUCCCUCAGCAAGACACUUCACCUUGCCUCCAGUGCUGCCCACACUGGUGUAUGAAUGUGAAUGAAUGUUUGGUGGUGGUCGGAGAGGCCGUGGGCGCAAAUUGGAAGCCAUUUUUCCGGCUGAAAACCCCAGGGCAGCUGUAAUACAGAUGUAGAUCACCACCAGCAGUGUGUGACUGAGAAGUGAAUGAAUAAUGGCUUCACUUCAUUGCUUUAGAUGCCUUGAAAAGUGCUAUAUAAAAUCUCAUCCAUAAUUAUUUUUAUUUUACACUCCUAUUAUUUUUUGUUUACACCACAUUGCACAGGCUACAGGAUCCAUGCUGGGACAUAAGAGACUAGCAUAGCGAGCUACCAGUUAGCCUCUCCAAUUUACUUAUUCUAAACUUGCAAAAGUUUCUCAAACAGAGUGGGGGAGAAGGACAAAGUAAGAAGAAGACAAUCUUACCACUUCCACACGAAAUGGGAGGAGAACCUUUUUUCACUCUAUCAUGUCGGACAUGCCAUGGCUGACUCCAUUAAGGACGUCGCGUCGCGUCACGUCGCGUCACGUCGCGUCAUGUCACGUCUCAUCAAUAUAACAUUACUGAUGCCUCGUGAACAGAAUACUACAAUAACUUGUCUUUCAAUAUAUUUAUUUCAACCACAAAACAGUCAUCAUUUAUUAAUUAAUUUUUGGUCAACUGUGAUAGACUGAGGGAGCGAUGUUCAAACCGUGAUGUAGCGAGGGACGACGGGAUAUGACAAGUGUCACGACCUGCUGUGACAUCUGCUGGUCUCAUGCUGAGGUUUCUGUACUUGCUCUAUAUUGCUUGUUAGUACCCCUACUGCUCCCGCUUUUGUUUGUCUUCUCAGAUGCUGGUUCACCUGAGCUGGGCGGAGCUAUGGGAUGAGCACAGCUGCUUUCCAUCUACUCAGCCUUUAAAAUCACUCAGCUGCAACUGCACAGCGUGGGAUUAUUCCUUUUUGUGGAUGCUUCACCCUCUGAGACUCUUCUGCUACAUCCUCGCGUGUUCCAUGUGUAGUUGCUCUCUGUUACUGGGAAGCUCAUCCGAGUAGCUCACCUGACCUGCAGUUGUCUCGCUCAUGCGUAUUGGGAUCCACCUGCUGACUCCACACUCCAAGCUUGACAACAAGUCUGUGGAAGACGUUGUUACCCAGACAGAGGUAAAUGAUCAACUGGAAACGCUUUACUGGAGUGCCAAGGAGGGCUCGACAUCGACAAGAUGGCUGGGGACCGCGGACCUGGUGGUGCCGGCUCUUUGGUCACGCGCCUCCUUGCUCUUGGUGUCAUGGUG